GGGGAAUAUUGCGCAAUGGGGGAAACCCUGACGCAGCAACGCCGCGUGAAGGAUGAAGGUUUUCGGAUCGUAAACUUCUUUGAUGAGGGACGAAGAAUGACGGUACCUCAAAAACAAGCCACGGCUAACUACGUGCCAGCAGCCGCGGUAAUACGUAGGUGGCGAGCGUUGUCCGGAAUUACUGGGUGUAAAGGGCGUGUAGGCGGGAAUGCAAGUCAGAUGUGAAAUACCGUGGCUUAACCACGGGGCUGCAUCUGAAACUGUGUUUCUUGAGUGUCGGAGAGGAGAGUGGAAUUCCCAGUGUAGCGGUGAAAUGCGUAGAUAUUGGGAGGAACACCAGUGGCGAAGGCGACUUUCUGGACGAUAACUGACGCUGAGGCGCGAAAGCGUGGGGAGCAAACA
rnacentral:rRNA from 1 species